rnacentral:rRNA from 1 species
GAUGAACGCUGGCGGUAUGCUUAACACAUGCAAGUCGAACGGACUCUUCGGAGUUAGUGGCGGACGGGUGAGUAACGCGUGAGAAUCUGGCUUUGGGUUCGGGACAACCACUGGAAACGGUGGCUAAUACCGGAUGUGCCGAGAGGUAAAAGAGAAAUUGCCUGAAGAUGAGCUCGCGUCUGAUUAGCUAGUUGGUGAGGUAAAGGCUCACCAAGGCAGCGAUCAGUAGCUGGUCUGAGAGGAUGACCAGCCACACUGGGACUGAGACACGGCCCAGACUCCUACGGGAGGCAGCAGGGGGGAAUUUUCCGCAAUGGGCGAAAGGCUGGAGGGGCAAUACCGCGGGAGGGAAGAAGGCUCUUGGGUUGUAAACCUCUUUUCUUAGGGAAGAACAAAAUGACGGUACCUAAGGAAUCAGCAUCGGCUAACUCCGUG